rnacentral:rRNA from 1 species
CAGGCUUAACACAUGCAAGUCGAGGGGCAGCAUGGUCUUAUCUUGCUAAGGCCGAUGGCGACCGGCGCACGGGUGAGUAACACGUAUCCAACCUGCCGUCUACUCUUGGACAGCCUUCUGAAAGGAAGAUUAAUACAAGAUGGCAUCAUGAGUCCGCAUGUUCACAUGAUUAAAGGUAUUCCGGUAGACGAUGGGGAUGCGUUCCAUUAGAUAGUAGGCGGGGUAACGGCCCACCUAGUCUUCGAUGGAUAGGGGUUCUGAGAGGAAGGUCCCCCACAUUGGAACUGAGACACGGUCCAAACUCCUACGGGAGGCAGCAGUGAGGAAUAUUGGUCAAUGGGCGAGAGCCUGAACCAGCCAAGUAGCGUGAAGGAUGACUGCCCUAUGGGUUGUAAACUUCUUUUAUAAAGGAAUAAAGUCGGGUAUGGAUACCCGUUUGCAUGUACUUUAUGAAUAAGGAUCGGCUAACUCCGUGCCAGCAGCCGCGGUAAUACGGAGGAUCCGAGCGUUAUCCGGAUUUAUUGGGUUUAAAGGGAGCGUAGAUGGAUGUUUAAGUCAGUUGUGAAAGUUUGCGGCUCAACCGUAAAAUUGCAGUUGAUACUGGAUAUCUUGAGUGCAGUUGAGGCAGGCGGAAUUCGUGGUGUAGCGGUGAAAUGCUUAGAUAUCACGAAGAACUCCGAUUGCGAAGGCAGCCUGCUAAGCUGCAACUGACAUUGAGGCUCGAAAGUGUGGGUAUCAAACAGGAUUAGAUACCCUGGUAGUCCACACGGUAAACGAUGAAUACUCGCUGUUUGCGAUAUACUGCAAGCGGCCAAGCGAAAGCGUUAAGUAUUCCACCUGGGGAGUACGCCGGCAACGGUGAAACUCAAAGGAAUUGACGGGGGCCCGCACAAGCGGAGGAACAUGUGGUUUAAUUCGAUGAUACGCGAGGAAUCUUACCCGGGCUUAAAUUGCAGAUGAAUUACGGUGAAAGCCGUAAGCCGCAAGGCAUCUGUGAAGGUGCUGCAUGGUUGUCGUCAGCUCGUGCCGUGAGGUGUCGGCUUAAGUGCCAUAACGAGCGCAACCCUUGUUGUCAGUUACUAACAGGUUCCGCUGAGGACUCUGACAAGACUGCCAUCGUAAGAUGUGAGGAAGGUGGGGAUGACGUCAAAUCAGCACGGCCCUUACGUCCGGGGCUACACACGUGUUACAAUGGGGGGUACAGAGGGCCGCUACCACGCGAGUGGAUGCCAAUCCCCAAAACCUCUCUCAGUUCGGACUGGAGUCUGCAACCCGACUCCACGAAGCUGGAUUCGCUAGUAAUCGCGCAUCAGCCACGGCGCGGUGAAUACGUUCCCGGGCCUUGUACACACCGCCCGUCAAGCCAUGGGAGCCGGGGGUACCUGAAGUGCGUAACCGCGAGGAGCGCCCUAGGGUAAAACUGGUGACUGGGGC